GGCAGGAGACCAUUGGAGGCUCAGAAGGGACAAAGCCCCUCUACUUUAAUACCACUGGCACAAAGUGGGAAUGCCUUGCACUUUCUCAGGAAAUCUCUAAACAGUAAUGUAAGAAAACUUUAGAUGGAGAUGUUCAGACUUUGGUAAGAAAUCCCACAGCCUGGUUAGAAAGAAUUUCAGACUGGAGAACUUGGAAGGGUUAUGCCAGUAUCCCUGUUUGAGGAUAUCUCUCUGAUGUCUGAUCCUGAUGCAGU